UGUCGAAGUUAUGCGAAAUAUAAAGCGUGGAAGCAAUUGUCAUGCGUUGGUCUUAUAGUUUCAAGUUAUUUGAACCUUUGAAAUCGAUAAGCAUGCCUCGUUAGAAGUGCGACAA
rnacentral:pre_miRNA from 14 species